CAGUUUUCAAGGCUCUCGCGAUAGUGGCCAUGCUUUCUUCAAGGGUUCCAGCAUUUCUCUUCGCGUUAGUGCUUAUUAUGGCAAUAACCGAGGUUCCAGCGAGGUUAGCUAAAUUUGCAGUACCAAAUCGGUGCACGAAUACACCGUGUUCUCCUGGUUGCCCUCCAUAUUGCAAGUGCGGAGGAGCUAAGACAAACAACUACUGCGCUGAACUGUAGCAGUGAAUAAAACGGUGCUUGAUUCAUCGUCCACCGGAAUAAACUAAAAAAAAGCUCAAGCAAAA
rnacentral:lncRNA from 1 species